UGCUCUUGAAAAACAUUAAUAAUAAAGCUCUUUACCUUUUUUUGCGCAGAAGGUAUGUGUGUGUGUCAGAGCAAUAUUAGAGAAGAGAAAUCACAGAAUGUCAGCCGUCUUGUUUCUCAGAAGCAAGACACAGGUCCAGGGACGUCUCAUGCUUCAGCCUCACAGGAGAGCCCCGCGACCCCGGCACUCACCUGAGCAGAACCCUAGGAGCAGGAGGAGCAGCUGUGGCUCCAUGGGCCGUGGGUGCUGGUGUGGACUGGAGGGUAUUGCACUCUGACUGCCUAGGAAAAAAUACAUCCUUCCACCCGGUUCUUGCAUCUAGAUGGAACCAUGUGACUGGAUUCUAGAAAAUGAAAUGUGAGGAGAAAUUUUGAGACUCACAAACCUUUCAGCAGAGCGCAUCCAUGCUCUUCUAGUCUUUUCUUUUUAAACUUUAAAGUAUCCAGUAUCGGGCAUCUGGGUGGCUCAGUUAGUUAAGCAUCAGU